CCUACGGGUGGCAGCAGUGAGGAAUAUUGGUCAAUGGGCGGGAGCCUGAACCAGCCAAGCCGCGUGAGGGAAGAAGGUACAGCGUAUCGUAAACCUCUUUUGUCAGGGAACAAAGGCGGGGACUAGUCCCCGGAUGAGGGUACCUGAAGAAAAAGCAUCGGCUAACUCCGUGCCAGCAGCCGCGGUAAUACGGAGGAUGCGAGCUUUAUCGGGAUUUAUGGGGGUUAAGGGGUGGGCAGGCGGCCUGUUAAGUUAGCGGUAAAAGCUCGGGGGUCAACCCCGGAGAGCCGUUGAAACUGGCGGGCUAGAGUUGGAGAGAGGUAGGCGGAAUGCGCGGUGUAGCGGUGAAAUGCGUAGAGAUCGCGCAGAACCCUGAUUGCGAAGGCGGCGUACCGGCUCCACACUGACGCUGAGGCACGAAAGCGUGGGGAGCAAACAGGAUUAGAUACCCUAGUAGUC
rnacentral:rRNA from 1 species